rnacentral:rRNA from 1 species
AUUGAACGCUGGCGGCAUGCUUUACACAUGCAAGUCGAACGGCAGCGCGGGCUUCGGCCUGGCGGCGAGUGGCGAACGGGUGAGUAAUGCAUCGGAACGUGCCCAGUAGUGGGGGAUAGCCCGGCGAAAGCCGGAUUAAUACCGCAUACGACCUGAGGGUGAAAGCGGGGGACCGAAAGGCCUCGCGCUAUUGGAGCGGCCGAUGUCGGAUUAGCUAGUUGGUGGGGUAAAGGCUUACCAAGGCGACGAUCCGUAGCUGGUCUGAGAGGACGACCAGCCACACUGGGACUGAGACACGGCCCAGACUCCUACGGGAGGCAGCAGUGGGGAAUUUUGGACAAUGGGGGCAACCCUGAUCCAGCCAUGCCGCGUGCGGGAAGAAGGCCUUCGGGUUGUAAACCGCUUUUGUUCGGGAAGAAAUCCUCUGGGCUAAUACCCCGGGGGGAUGACGGUACCGAAAGAAUAAGCACCGGCUAACUACGUG